rnacentral:rRNA from 1 species
UGCCGGUGAUAAACCGGAGGAAGGCGGGGAUGACGUCAAGUCCUCAUGGCCCUUACAUCCCGGGCUACACACGUGCUACAAUGGCAGGUACAGAGGGCUGCGAAGCCGCGAGGUGGAGCGAAUCCCAGAAAACCUGUCUCAGUCCGGAUUGAAGUCUGCAACUCGACUUCAUGAAGGCGGAAUCGCUAGUAACCGCGAAUCAGCAGGUCGCGGUGAAUACGUUCCCGGGCCUU